rnacentral:lncRNA from 1 species
AGAGAGAAGGACUACAGAACUGAUUACAGAGACUUUGACAACAGGUAAGAAUGUAUGUGUCUCUUAUCUACUCUACAAGUUGAGCGACAAAUUAAGAAUUGUUUUCAAAGGCAACUGAUUUGGGUGUUGUUGUUAUCUUGUUUCCCUCUUAUAGUUUAAGUUUUACCUAUUUUUUCGGUUGUGACCUGGAUUAGUUUUCUCUAAAUCAGUUUAUGACUUUUCAACAACGGUAUUAUACCGUUGCUUCUAUUUACAUGGACUUUCGCACUUGACUGUUGUUAAUUGGCCAACCUUGUAAGCAACAACUAAAUAGUUUUAUGACUUCAAAGACAUGAACACUAUCCACGAAAAUGAAUAGAGGUAAAAAAAAACACUGUAGUACUAUUUCUUAACUUUAAAAUUGGUACAGAAAUAAUACCAAAUAAAGGCAACAGUAGUAUACCGCUGUUCAAAACUCAUAAAUCCAUGGACAAAAAACAAAAUCGGGGUAACAAACUAAAACUGAGGGAAAAGCGAUCACAAUAUUCCAUGUUUGAAAAUUAUUACUUUAAGAUAUUUGAAACUGUAGCAAUGACAAGAGAGAAAACAACUGAUGUUGACAGUAUGUUUGAUUUUAAUAUUAUUUGGCCUCCAGUCACAAUUAUUUUUAUUAUUGGUUACAAUGGGUUUUUUUUUUGUAAAAACACUUUUCAAACACUUUUAGACCAUUAUCAUACUAACAAAAUAUGCAUAUCGAUUUAUGAAUUAAAAACUGCGGGGAAAAACGAUUUAAACCCCCUGUUACCUUUAUAUCCUACAUCUGCAUAUUCUAUUCAAAUUCAUUUUUGAAAUUGAUGUGUGCUUGACUCCUUCAUCGUCUUUGCACAUACAACUAGCGUGAAUGCUAACGUUAACAAUGUCAUUGAUAUCAGCGUAUUACUGCAAUAGAGCUGCAUUAUUCACGUAUCUGGAUACGUGCACAGAUUGACGUAUCGGGUAGAUUUGUAUUAAAUAAAGAAUUAACCUUAAUUGGAACUGAAUUAAAAUUAACUGCAUUAUAAAAUAUCUUCUAAGAAUCCAAUUUAAUCUAUUCUUUUUAAAUUUACGUGUUAUACGAUACUUCGAUUUGAUACGAAAGCAAAUACGUGAAUAAUGAAAGUGGUCUAUUAAUAGUUUCCCAAAUACUUGCAUAGCGUGCGUAAAAUGUCCUGUACCAAGUCAGGAAAAUGGCCAUUGUUAUAUUAUAGUUCGUAUCUGUGUGUGUUACAUUUAAAUGUUGUGUUUCUGUUGUGUCGUUGUUCUCCUCUUAUAUUUGAUGCGUUUCCCUCAAUUUAAGUUUGUAACCCGGAUUUGUUUUUUUCUGAAUCGAUUUAUGAUUAUAUUUUAUAUUCGAUUUCGAACAGCGGUAAACUACUGUUGCCUUUAUUUAAACCUGUAAGCAGGGUUCCAAGCCCUCCCUCUAACCUGGGACAGUUGUGUAACAUAACAACAUAAAAUUCAACUAUAAAAAUCAAUUGAAAAAGGCUUAACUCAUCAAAUUGAUACAAAUAGAAGUACAUCUAACAAAAACACAGAGUAAACGUGGCAGGGAACUUGUAUAUAAAAAAAACCAGUAAGUACUUACUGCUAGUUCAAAUCCAGAAACAAUUAAUAAAAAUAAAAGUCAUGAAUCUAAGACUAAAUUAUCAAUCAGAACACAUCAAUAUUCAAUGGAUUUAGUAUAACGACGUCAUAAACAGUCAAAGAAAAACACGACCUUGUGCAAUGUCAAGAUACAGGUAUCGACAGAUUUUAGAUUCAUAAAUGUGUAUAUGUAUACAACAAUAAUAUUUGAUUUGCAACUAAAUUACUGAUAACAUAAUCAGUAUUAAUACCAAUUAAAACAAUAUUAAAUGAUCUAAUUACAGUGUUGUAUUGGUAACCUUUGAGAAUAAGUUUGUUUAAAGGAUCGAUAGGUUUACCGGGACCGAUUUUAAAUUUCCUGCCACGGUAAACAACGUUUCCGUAAAAAUGAGGAAUUGCUAUCCUUUUUGAAUUAAGCUUCAUAUCCGACUGAGAAACACACAAAAAAAAAUUUCAGCCAGAAGUAUCUCCUACUAGACUUCAUUUUCAAAUUGACUAUGUUUGCUAUUUUCUUUUAAUACUGUUUAUACUAUUUUUUGACGAAAGUAUGUGUUAUGAAUAAUGUUGUACCAUACAUUUAUCUCAGUCUAAUGUAUGUAUUGUUUUAAGGAAACAACAGCAGUAAAACUGUAGAGAACAUCGAUCCAGGUAAGGCGGAAACAGUCACAAACUCGGGUAUAUUAAUCAAUUAAUCAAGCAAAUAAGCAAAUGCACAACCAAAAACAUCAAGUGAACAACAACUGCAUUGCCUAAAGAAAAACGAUGACAGAAACAAACACUGCACAAAAAUGACACGACUGAUUCAGUGGUAGAAUCUAUAUUUAUCUGGUUUAAUGUGGUACCAAAGACCUUGAAUAAAAUUAAUUUGACUCGUUUAAUUUUAAUGAAAUUUUGACAAAAUAUUAAUUUGACCCUUUGACAAAAAUAUGAAAUUUGAAAAAAAAACUUGAGCCACAAAUUUUUCCCAGAAAAAUUUAGGUGGAUAUAUAGCAGUUUGACAAACGCUAAUUUUGAUCAUUGAGAAGCUUCAUAUUCCUUGUACUAUAGAACGUGAUUCAAACAUUCAGCCGAUUUUUCAGAGUUAUUUCUCUGUAGUAGUAUGUAGCACCUUAAGUAUAUAAUUUACCACUUUAAGGGAUACACAGCCAACUAAAUGUGGAGAACACCGAUUCAAGUGAAGUGAUUGAUUGAUUGUUGGUUGAUUUACGCCUCAUUAGCACAAAAAGGCUAUAUCGCGGCGAUCAGGUGAAGUGGAAAUAGUCACAAACUCGAGUAUAAUUAAUCAGUUUAUUCAAACAUUUUACACUCCUUCAUAUCAUAAAAAAAUUAUCAUGUGAAGCAUGAUUUGAAGCAUAUAACGUUCUCUUCAAUUCAUGAGUUUUGAAUGUCUGAUUGGUAUUUUCCAUCUCAUGUUUGACAAAAACAAACUGCUUACAAAGAAAUAUGGUCUAAAGUCUAUGAUAUUGUUGGAAAUAUCGAUCAAAUGUUGUUUACUGUGGAUUCAGUAUUAUUCGUUGGAUACCAAUUUUCAUUGGUUUCGUGUAAAAUAUCGAUCAAAUGUUGUUUACUAGUAAUUGGGUCUACACAAAUUUACCUUAAUGUGUGAUUCAUAGAAAUAAUGAAAUAAAUAUACAUGACUAUAGCCCAGUACGUCCAAGUAGGAACAUCAAUCAUAAAAAGGGGGAAUAAAUCGACAAAAAUGAAAAAAAAACAUUAUGACUUCGAUCAUCUCUACGACAGACUAUUAAGUUUUCCAUACAAGAGUUUUAUCAUUGAGAGAGAAAUUAGAGUACAAAUAAAAUAACACCAGGAUAAUAAUCACUUUCCGUUUUCAAUUUUCCACGGAUUUCAAUAUUUUUGUGAUUUUAGUUUUGAAAGCCAAUUUAAUGAAGUAAGAAAGAUAGUUCGGAUUAAAAGUGUAUUCAUGCGGUAUCUACAAACUUUUAAAAAUAAACCACUUCAAACCAUUUCCAAUAAACUCAUCAUAGAUAUCAGCACUAAAUACAUGUAUGCCAGAUGCUAGUUUCGUCUUCAAAAGACUCAUUAUUGACGCUCAUAUAAAAUAAGUGAAAUUUCAAAAGGUAUUUUCAAAUACGGCUAAGGUAAGUAUGUUGGUAUUAUUGAUAAAUGUGUUUUUAAUUUAAACUACAUAUAUUCAAUGUCUUUUAAAUGCCAAUGAUUGAGAACACUUUGAAACACAUUUUGCAAGUCGACCAAAAAAUUCAAUCUACAUACGUAUAAUACUUCUAGAGUAAUCGAGUUGUGCAUAACUUCUUUUUUUAAUGCAUACGAGUAAGUCAAGUGGUAAAGUAAUAAUUUCAUUGACGUAUUACUGUAAAUGUUUUGAUAAAAUCCUCGCAUAUAAUAUAUACUUUGUUUUUUUCAUAUAAAAUACACGCGUGCCGUAUACAUUUAAGAAAUUAAUUGUAUGAAACAUAUCAAUGAUACGAUAUUUUUUUGUUGUUUAGGACGGUCAUGUCAAGACAAGUUUUAUCAUGGUCUAUUAUCAGCUGGACUUAUCCUUAUAUCAUUUUUAUUGGUUAUAUGCAGUGCUUGUUUCAACCGUAAGUGUCGAACCAAGACAUUAGAUCAAAGAUAGAAAGAUAAGUCAACCAGUUAUAUACAACACAACAAGAUUGAUAAAGAAAUGUGCAAGGAAAGGACAAAAAUUACAAUAACUAAAACUCCUAUAUGUUAUAUAUUUUUGACAUGCAAAUUUCUCAAAUCAAUUUGGGAUCAAAUGAAACUUAGAAUAUGAGAUCAUAUAUUAUCACUUAGAUCACUUUUUUAUGGAUACAUGAUAAACGAUACAAAUUAUUAUAGUAUUUUUGAUUUACUAACAAUGAUAUAUUUUACGGUAUUUACAAAGGAUAUAAAAUAUACGAGCAAAAAACAAUGAUUUCAAACUUUUCAAAUGGAAUUUCUUCAACAUAACGAGAUAUUAAGAAAUAAAAAAGGCAAACGUGAAAACUAGGAUUAAUAAAAUAUCAUAUUAUCUUAUUUUUAUUCAGUUGCAUAUCAUUGUGAGCUAACUUUUAUUAUAUAUAUUGAACACUAACAAGUCCUAAUGUCUCACCACUGAUAUGAUAUGAACUAACGUUAACAAGGCCGGGAUAAGGUACCGGUACUUUAUGUAUCUCUAACAAAUAUAAAGUUCAAAUAAAAUUAUAUAUCAUUAAAUAAAGAAAAAGAAAGGCAAGGACAUUACAGCUCUAAUCAAGGAGCAAUUUUCUACGAAAUAGUCCAUGUUUAUGUAUGUCGGCGUUUGUUUUGUCGCAUUUCAGUGUUCUGUUGUUCCAAUGUUUUUCUCUUAUAGUUGAUUUGUUUCCUCGGUUUUAGUUUUAGUUUUUCAAGUAGGAUUUGUUUUCGAGUAUGCGAUUGAUGACUAUUGAACAGGAGUAUGCUUCUGCUGCCUUUAUCUAUGUGUGAAUCCAUCGAGGAAAACUAAAUGACACAUUGUAAUAAUCCUGAUCAGAAUGCUAUAAAAAUAUCGAAAGUUCAGGUCUAACAAUACGUCCUUAUUUUGUUAUCUAAAACAAUUUUCUAACAAAUAAAU